rnacentral:misc_RNA from 1 species
GUGAAAUAUCUUUUAUAUUCUUUGUAAUUUCAUGAUGAAGAUCAGCACAUGACAAAGUAGGCUUUUUUGGUGUGACUCUGUCAUGUGGAGCCAAAUUUUGCCUUGCUCGGGUUAUUACAGUCUCAGAAGUUCCUAAUGAUAGCUGAUCCCUUGAAUUUAUUUUCGGCGUUGAAUGGUCUCCCAUAAGACAAAUAAUUUUUUUAUGACUUCAGCAAUAUCCCAAGUUCAGACUAUGGGAUGCAGAUGUUUGUCAACUUCAACCUUUCUUCUCUUAAGAUUUGCAAGGAAAAGGCUUUAAUGUGUUCUUUUCAGCUCAAAAAAGAUGCUGGCCACUCCAUUUCAGCUUUAGUAAUGCAGAGGCAAGAGAUGCCAUUAACAGAAGCACCAGCCCCUCCAACAGGAAGUAACGAGUGUCGGUGCUCCAGAGGUCAAUGAAACCCAAGAAAACAACUACCAGAGAUUAGCAAGAGUUGCAGAGAGCAAGUAAGCGGCAAAAAAAAAAGAUAUCAACGCCUUCAUUUUGUUUUAGAUACUCCAAACUCGAAACUCCAAACCAAGAAUAAGCAAUCCCAGAAAAGCACAAAGAUAAAGAGAGGCAUGUAGAGAGAG